rnacentral:lncRNA from 1 species
UUGAAAUGCAAUAGCAUUUUUCUCCAGUGAUCCUUUCCUAUGCAGUUUUUCAUGACGUUAAAGUAAAGCGAAUUCAAAGAUAUUAAGUUCAUGAAUUCAACGGCUAAUAUGAUGAUGGCUAGAUAGAAAGUAUUCGUUUGGGAGUCGAAUGAUAAGAUACAACUUGCAAGCACCACCCAUAAGAUCCAACGACUGAAUAGAUAUUUGAUUUCUAUUUCGAAAAAUUAUGUAUCGAACACGAGAUUUCUGCCAACUGGCAAGUGUAGCAGGUAUCCGUCGUAAAACUCUAGACAACACCAAAAUACAAUCAAUGAAAAAAAAGAAAUCAAAUAACACUUGAAAAGACGAUCCAAAAAUUAGAUGUAACCAACUUAAGAUGUACAUGUAUCGACCAGCUAAGGUACAUGGAACAUAUGCCUCUGUAUUUACUCAACAAGAAUAGUCGUCUUGUCAUCAUCAAAGUUCUCAGGUUGAAGGCUUGCUUAUAGUCAUGAAAAUAUUCUAGUUAUCCCCAGAUUGCCUUUUGGAAACAUGUUCAUCUGAUACUUUGGGUACACGCUUCCUUUUGCUUCGGGAAUUGCGUUUUCUUGUUGAUCUUUUGGUCACACGUUUCUCUGUGUUCUCUGGGAUGCUGAUCACUUUUACAUCAGAAGUUGGGAGUUCAGGAGGAGCAUCUGGCCAUGGCGUGUGUUUUGCUGGGAUGGUUACAUCCAAUGGGGGGUCAAUUACCCACCUGAAUGAAUCGGAUAGUAUCGACGAAUCAUUACAUCUAUAAAUUAUCAUAUAGAGAAGCGCAUUUUCUAUAGUAAAUGCAAUAAUUUAUAAAUGCACAUCAUCAUGGUCGUCUAUAUGAUAUAUAUAAACAGGCCAAUAAAUAUAUGUUGCACCACAUGUUGAUAAAAUGCCCCGAUGACCAGGUUAAAGAAAGGAAGCAUAGUCAAUUUCAUGGCCAGUGGCCCUAACUACAGAAAUAAGCUCUUCAAUAUGUUUGGGCGAUUGCGCGUAUGUUCUAGUAUACAAAUGUUCUAGUAUACUGUAUCACUCUGUAUGAAGCACCUGUAACUUCAUGCAAACACACUUUCUGCCAAACAAAGGACUAUAAUUGAUGGCGAAAGAGGUUAAGCCAAAGAUCUACUUCUAUAAGCUGACACAAGAAUUAUGUAGAACUUGAGUUACAGCUAGCCAAACAUUGAAACACCGUCACUUUUCAGUUAAAUACCACUUCUUUUGUAUCUCUCACAAAACAAAUGAACAAUAUAAGCUGGAAAUUUCUUGUCAAAGGACACUCUAAUUUACUUCUAUUCACCACUACCAAAACUCAACAAUUCACACUAUCCCAACCCCAACACAGAACCCCAUUAGAACUCAACACCAUCACCACCGCCCACUAACAAGAAUCUCCACUAAAAAUGCAAGUGGCACCGAAUCAAAUCCAAAUGAACCGAAUUUGCCACCAACACAA